AGAUCUCUUUAAUGGCGCACUUGCCACAACGAUACCUUCAGUUUUUGAUAUAGACUCGGACUCUUCUCAUCAUUCUUCUCUCUUUCUGUUUCGCGCACGCGCACCACUUAAACCGUACGAAGAUCCGCACGUAUAAAUUACUUACAUGCUAAGCUUUCCCGACCGGAUUCGUUCUCCUUUUCAAAACGCACACGCACGAUCAGUUGCUCUUUGCGAAUCGAUCGACCUAUCGUAUCGUAUCGUAGCUGCGAACAAAUUCAUCGACUCCAAAGCACCAAGAUGACUGAUUACAAAGAAAUUUUUGAAAACAUAAAAGAUCCCAUGGUUGACACAUGGCCGUUAAUGGGCUCUCCAGGGCCGAUAAUCUGCAUCGUUUUACUAUAUUUACUUUUUGUUAUCAAAAUUGGCCCGAAAAUAAUGGAAAAUCGUCCGGCCUUCGAACUCAAAGGCUUUUUAAUAGCGUAUAACGCGUUGUUAAUUGUCUUUAAUAUAUGGUUAACAUCCUUGACUACAAAAAUCGAUCUCAGAGCUUUGAUUCGUUCGAACGGAUGCAGAUUGCGAACCCAUCAAUUGUCCAAAGACGAAUCUUUAGAAACCCCGAUCGAUGAACAGUUACAAAUUUUAUCAACGGCAGCCUGGUGGUACUUCUUCGCUAAGAUUAUCGAGCUUGUAGAUACGGUAUUCUUUAUUUUGCGAAAGAAACAGGACCAAGUGACUUUCCUUCACAUUUAUCAUCAUAGCGCCACAGCCUUGUUCGCGUGGUGUUAUCUGAAGCUACUUCCCGGUGAACAAGGUAUCAUCGUCGGACUACUCAACUCUAUGGUUCACAUCGUUAUGUAUACGUAUUACUUGAUAUCCGCAUUGGGCCCAAAAUACAAAAAGUAUCUAUGGUGGAAGAAAUAUAUGACCUUGUUCCAACUGAUCCAAUUCGUUAUAAUGAUCGUUUAUCUUGUAUUAACGUUGGUGAUGGACUGCAGAAUGCCAAAAAUCUUAACUUACUGCUUCAUGACGCACGUGGUGAUCUUCAUGUACCUAUUCGGUAAUUUCUACAGGAAAGCCUACAUCAAGCAGAAACAAGUGUAAAAUAAUUCGCCAAGGACAAUAAUAGAUAGAUAAAUAUGCACAUACAUACAUGUAAAUCUAUUACGAUCUAAUAUAUAAAUUACGAUCUUAUAUUUAAAUUACGUAAAAAGUUCCGAUAUAAAUUGUCAUAAAUGAUCAAGAUUAUAAUCCUUAGAUGGAAUUCGUUAUUCGAAAUUUCUAAUGGUGAAUUAGAUUAGUUCCUUUUUCAUCGAUCGAUCGAUCGGUUAUACGCCAAUUAAGAUAAAAGAAAAACCCAGAAAAAUAUUUCUUUAUCAAUUAUUACUGUUUACGAUCUUCGAGAUGUAGAGUCGAUGAAACCUAUAGAUCUAUCUUUGCGAAUCGAUAGCGAGACAAGAUUUGUGAUGGGCCACAAACAUUUAUGGUUUCAUGAUAUUUUUCGCAAAGAUGAAACCAACGACGUACAUUAAAUAAUAAUAUACGAACGAAGAUAAUGUCGAAUUAAUGAAGAAAAAUAAAUAAAUAUAUGUCCUAUUA